rnacentral:tRNA from 1 species
GGCUCCGUGGCUUAAUGGUUGCGGCUUCUGCCUCAAAAGCAGAACUUUCAGGGAUCUAAUCCCAGUCGGUUCCC